rnacentral:rRNA from 1 species
UUUAUGAAGGGUUUGAUCCUGGCUCAGAAUGAACGUUGGCGGCGUGGAUUAGGCAUGCAAGUCGAACGAGAACCCCGCAAGGGGUGAAAGUGGCAAACGGCGUAGUAAGGCGUAGGUGACGUACCUCCCGAUUCGGGAUAGCUACGGGAAACUGUAGGUAAUACCGGAUAAUCCCUCCAGGAUUGAAAACUGGAGUGCAAAGGUGUGAUUCCGUCAGGAGAGCGGCUUACGUGGUAUUAGCUAGUUGGUGAG